GGCCGUUUGGCGCAAUGGUAGCGCGUUACUUUCCGGUUUCAUAUACUCUGAUGGUAAAGGCUCUGGGUUCGAGUCCCAGGAUGGUCG